rnacentral:lncRNA from 1 species
UGGUGGCAGACUUGGUUGAGGGCAUGCCAUCUUCUACGAUUGUUGAUGAGGUAGUCUUUGCUUCACUUCUAUUUCUAUUUUGUUCGUUAUAGUGAGCAUCUUUAAUAUUGGCAAUUUUCCUUGUAGGAUGCUAACAGGAUUGUGCGUUCUAUCCAAGACUUGUUCACUUCCUGGGGGCAAGUCCAGACGUCUCGCCCUGCUCCAUCUGAUCGUCCUGCUGCUUCUUCAGAGGAAGAUUUGAAGUUCCUGAAGGAGUCGAUAUUUGAGUACGUAUCCUUCAUGGAUAUGGAUAUUGGAAGGGCUAGUGCUGCCAGACACAAGGAUGAACUUGAG